GCCAUAUCACAUUGAAAUACCGGUCCUCGUACGAUCAUCAAAGUUAAGCAAUCUCGAGACUGGUCAAGUGCCUAGAUGGGUGACCACUUGGGACUACCUGGUGCUGUAAG